CUGGGGGUUGGUGCUGCAGGACUGUUCCCAGUCUGCAGAGACUCUUCCCCGUUGUCUGCCCAGCUCGGCUCCGCAAUGCCGCUGGACCUCAGCAAGUGGUCCGGGCCUUUGAGCCUGCAGGAAGUGGGCGAGCGGCUGCAGCAUGCGCUGCAGGUCAAAUACACCAGGACAGAGGUCGACGAGCUGAUCAAAGUGCUGACGCCCACCCAAGUUAAGAACCGGCCUGCCAGUAUUGUGUGGGAUGGCCUUGUUCCAGGUAAACUCUACACCUUGGUCCUAACAGAUCUGGAUGCUCUCAGCAGGAAGGGCCCCAAAUACAGGGAAUGGCACCAUUUUCUGGUGGUCAACAUGAAGGGCAACGACAUCAGCACUGGCAGAGUCCUCUCCAAUUAUGUCAGCUCUGGGCCUCCAGAUAUAUCUGGCGCAGGCCUUCACCGCUAUGUCUAGCUGGUUUAUGAACAGAAUGGGCCACUGAAGUGUGACGAGCCCAUCUUCAGCAACCGAUCUGGAGACCCCCGGGGCAAAUGCAAAGUGGCAUCUUUCCGCAAAAAGUACGAGCUUGGGCCGCUGGUGGCUGGUACAUGUUACCCGGCGGAAUGGGAUGCCUAUGUGCCCAAACUCUAUGAGCAGCUGUCUGGGAAGUAGGGGAAUGCUAGGAGACAGAAACUGUCCUGGAAGUCUCAACCAGUGUUCUCCAGUUCAGUGAUGCAUGUAGAUUUCUCAGGGGAGGCCUGAGCAAUCAGAUAAUGGUUUAGAGUGACUUUUCCUUCUGCCUGUCCUUUAGAGGGUCACGCCCCCAUUUAUGUUUUGAUCAAAUUUGAACUCCAUUUUGGGGGAUAUUUUGGUACUGUGUUGGGGUCAUCAAAUUCUUAAUAUAAGAAUAGCAAUCCAGAAUUUAAAGAAAUAAAAAUUCAGGUGAAAAGACCAGGUCUAUAGUAAUAGAGCAGAGCGUCAAAGAAUCUUGAAGGGAGGUUUAAAAAAAAA